UUUAUAAAGAGAGCACUGCCAGCUGGUGACUUGAGAGGGAGAAAUGGCAGCCUGUACUCCUUGCUGGAGCUGGCUAAUGCUGCAACUUCACUGAAGGACCAGAAAGAUAAAGGAAACAAGAAACAGCCUCCCCUGAUCUUGGACAAGACAAAAACUGAAAGCAACACCAUGGGGAACAUGAAGUGGAAAGGGCUGCUCUACUGCUGCUAAGUGCUCAAGGGGCUGGCUGGUUGAAGUGAAAGCUCAAAGGUGUGUUUUCAAUUCAUGAGCACCAUCUGUGGAUACACCAAGUCUCCAGACACACAGUUCACCAUACAAAGAAUAUGUUAUCCCUUGAGUAAUGUCUGUAGUAGGAGCUUGAUGCAAGUCCUACCAGCGACACCUUCAUUGCUCCCAGGGGUUGCUUUCUCCCAGAUAGCCAUGCCAAAUAAUGCAAAACAAGCCUUAAAAGAGCCAAAGAAGUUCUCCAGCACUCCCCACCAGCACAGGCACAGCACAAGUACGGUGCUUUUGCAGCCUUCACAGCUCUACGCAUCUCAGCACUACCUCCAUGCACUGCACAGAGCACCACCGUCUUCUGAAAUACAGGAAUUUUGUUGUUCCCACAAGGCAAGGUUAGACAGGCUGAUAAUGAGCCUCACAGCAACCUCCUCCCACUGCAAGAAGUGCUAUUAGAGAUGUUAAUGCUGUACAGGUGGACUGGAUAAAGGGAAAUGAGGUAGGUAGUGGCAACAUUUGGAGUCAAGUAUGGCUGUUGCACUAACAAGUUUCUUUUCUUCCUCUCCUCUGCUCUGUAGCCUCUUUUCAUGAGGGGUACCCUGGCUGGGCAGGCUUUCUUCUCUUUUUCGAAGCGAGCACUGACUGCUCAAGAACAAGUUCCUCUGUUGUUAGCACUCAAGCUUCUCUUUUCCCCCCUAAACUAUGGGGCUUAUGUGCACAGAAGGCACUCAGGGAGUGAUCUCGACUUUCACCAUGGCACCAACUGGAAAGUGCUGGCUCCAGGAGUGGCUCCCAACAGGCAGUACAGAAAUGUCCGCAACACCUUGGCACCUCUCCACCUUCUGCCAGCCUCAAGCACCCUCCCCACAGGAUCCCAACCUUCACAUCCUCCCACAGGUUUUCAUCCCAUAGCCUCAGGCACAAAGCUUGUAGUCUCACUUUUCUGCCAUUAAGACAUUGCUGCAG